ensembl:lncRNA
GUAGUAACAGAGAUGAGAGACUGUAGACAGACGGUAGUAACGGAGAGGAGAGUCAGUAGACAGACGGUAGUAACGGAGAGGGGAGCGACAGUAGACAGACAGUAGUAACGGAGAGGGGAGCGACAGGAGACAGACGGUAGUAACGGAGAGGAGAGAGACAGUAGACAGACGGUAGUAACGGAGAGGAGAGAGACAGUAGACAGACGGUAGUAACGGAGAGGAGAGAGACAGUAGACAGACGGUAGUAAUGGAGAGGGGAGCGACAGAAGUAACAGAGAGGAGAGAGACAGUAGACAGACGGUAGUAACAGAGAGGGGAGUCAGUAGACAGACGGUAGUUACAGAGAGGAGAGUCAGUAGACAGACGGUAGUAACGGAGAGGGGAGAUAGUAGACAGACGGUACUAACGGAGAGGAGAGACAGUAGACAGACGGUACUAACGGAGAGGAGAGAGACAGUAGACAAACGGUAGUAACAGAGAGGAGAGUCAGUAGACAGACGGUACUAAC